AAAUUGAAGAGUUUGAUCAUGGCUCAGAUUGAACGCUGGCGGCAGGCCUAACACAUGCAAGUCGAACGGUAACAGGAAGAAGCUUGCUUCUUUGCUGACGAGUGGCGGACGGGUGAGUAAUGUCUGGGAAACUGCCUGAUGGAGGGGGAUAACUACUGGAAACGGUAGCUAAUACCGCAUAACGUCGCAAGACCAAAGAGGGGGACCUUCGGGCCUCUUGCCAUCGGAUGUGCCCAGAUGGGAUUAGCUUGUUGGUGGGGUAACGGCUCACCAAGGCGACGAUCCCUAGCUGGUCUGAGAGGAUGACCAGCCACACUGGAACUGAGACACGGUCCAGACUCCUACGGGAGGCAGCAGUGGGGAAUAUUGCACAAUGGGCGCAAGCCUGAUGCAGCCAUGCCGCGUGUAUGAAGAAGGCCUUCGGGUUGUAAAGUACUUUCAGCGGGGAGGAAGGGAGUAAAGUUAAUACCUUUGCUCAUUGACGUUACCCGCAGAAGAAGCACCGGCUAACUCCGUGCCAGCAGCCGCGGUAAUACGGAGGGUGCAAGCGUUAAUCGGAAUUACUGGGCGUAAAGCGCACGCAGGCGGUUUGUUAAGUCAGAUGUGAAAUCCCCGGGCUCAACCUGGGAACUGCAUCUGAUACUGGCAAGCUUGAGUCUCGUAGAGGGGGGUAGAAUUCCAGGUGUAGCGGUGAAAUGCGUAGAGAUCUGGAGGAAUACCGGUGGCGAAGGCGGCCCCCUGGACGAAGACUGACGCUCAGGUGCGAAAGCGUGGGGAGCAAACAGGAUUAGAUACCCUGGUAGUCCACGCCGUAAACGAUGUCGACUUGGAGGUUGUGCCCUUGAGGCGUGGCUUCCGGAGCUAACGCGUUAAGUCGACCGCCUGGGGAGUACGGCCGCAAGGUUAAAACUCAAAUGAAUUGACGGGGGCCCGCACAAGCGGUGGAGCAUGUGGUUUAAUUCGAUGCAACGCGAAGAACCUUACCUGGUCUUGACAUCCACGGAAGUUUUCAGAGAUGAGAAUGUGCCUUCGGGAACCGUGAGACAGGUGCUGCAUGGCUGUCGUCAGCUCGUGUUGUGAAAUGUUGGGUUAAGUCCCGCAACGAGCGCAACCCUUAUCCUUUGUUGCCAGCGGUCCGGCCGGGAACUCAAAGGAGACUGCCAGUGAUAAACUGGAGGAAGGUGGGGAUGACGUCAAGUCAUCAUGGCCCUUACGACCAGGGCUACACACGUGCUACAAUGGCGCAUACAAAGAGAAGCGACCUCGCGAGAGCAAGCGGAUCUCAUAAAGUGCGUCGUAGUCCGGAUUGGAGUCUGCAACUCGACUCCAUGAAGUCGGAAUCGCUAGUAAUCGUGGAUCAGAAUGCCACGGUGAAUACGUUCCCGGGCCUUGUACACACCGCCCGUCACACCAUGGGAGUGGGUUGCAAAAGAAGUAGGUAGCUUAACCUUCGGGAGGGCGCUUACCACUUUGUGAUUCAUGACUGGGGUGAAGUCGUAACAAGGUAACCGUAGGGGAACCUGCGGUUGGAUCACCUCCUUACCUUAAAGAAGC
rnacentral:rRNA from 1 species